GACGAACGCUGGCGGCGUGCCUAAUACAUGCAAGUAGAACGCUGAAGGAGGAGCUUGCUUCUCUGGAUGAGUUGCGAACGGGUGAGUAACGCGUAGGUAACCUGCCUGGUAGCGGGGGAUAACUAUUGGAAACGAUAGCUAAUACCGCAUAAUAGUAGAUGUUGCAUGACAUUUGCUUAAAAGGUGCAAUUGCAUCACUACCAGAUGGACCUGCGUUGUAUUAGCUAGUUGGUGAGGUAACGGCUCACCAAGGCAACGAUACAUAGCCGACCUGAGAGGGUGAUCGGCCACACUGGGACUGAGACACGGCCCAGACUCCUACGGGAGGCAGCAGUAGGGAAUCUUCGGCAAUGGACGGAAGUCUGACCGAGCAACGCCGCGUGAGUGAAGAAGGUUGUCGGAUCGUAAAGCUCGGUUGUAAGAGAAGAACGAGUGUGAGAGUGGAAAGUUCACACUGUGACGGUAUCUUACCAGAAAGGGACGGCUAACUACGUG
rnacentral:rRNA from 1 species